UGAGGAGUGCCCGAAAGGUUAGGGAAUACACUGUAAAUGUAGAGGUCGGUGACCUGAUGAUGGUUCGAGUCCAUCCUCCUCAA